UGGCCUCAAAUCAGGCAAGAAUCC
rnacentral:rRNA from 1 species